rnacentral:rRNA from 1 species
UAAGAAUUUAAAAGUCGAACAGACUUAUAUAUUAAGAAUUCUGCUUCUUAAAAUAUUCUUAAUUCAACAUCGAGGUCGCAAAAUUUAAUAUAGAUUAGAACUCCCCAUUAAAAUUACGCUGUUAUCCCUAAGGUAACUUAAUCUUAUUUUCCUUAUUUAAAAGAUCAAAAUUUACAUAAAUUAAUGAUUUUCUAAAUUAAAGUUAAGAUUUAAUUACCACCCCAGCAAAACAUAAAAAAUUAUCAUAAAAUAUAUUUAACUUAAAUAUAAAUAAUAGGUGUUUAUGUAAAGUUCUAUAGGGUCUUAUCGUCCCAAUAAAAAAAUAAAGCAUUUUAACUUUAAAUUUAAAUUCUAAUAUUUUAAGAAAUAAAAUAUACCUCUCAUACAUCCAUUCAUACUAGCCCUCAAUUAAAAGACUAAUUACUAUGCUACCUUUGCACAGUCAAAAUACUGCAGCCAUUUAGCUUCUAAACCAUAGGGCAGAAGAUACUUUUUAUAUAUUGCCA